rnacentral:lncRNA from 1 species
UACGAUGUAUCACUUCUCUCUCCUUUUUUUUUUCUUUUUUUCUUUUUGUAAUUUCUCACUAGUGAUUGGUAUUUGUAUUAGAGCCUAGCUAAAUUCAAAGUAGCGACGGAACAUAACAAAGCUACUAUAUCCUUGUUUGGUGGAGUACCACUUUAUCAUUCGUUAAAAUAGACGCACCCACUUUAAUGAACUUUCUGCUACAGUACUAUUUCAGAUCUCAAAUAUUUUUUUAGUAAAUUUCAUACAUUACCCUUCACUUUCUUCUAUCUGAGCUAAAUCUCUUUUUCUCGCUCUCUUCAAAUCAAG